rnacentral:rRNA from 1 species
UAAUACGAAGGUGGCGAGCGUUGUUCGGAAUCACUGGGCUUAAAGCGCGCGUAGGCGGAAAUGUAAGUGUUUUGUGAAAUCCCCCGGCUUAACCGGGGAAUUGCUUGGCAUACUGCAUUUCUUGAGACAAGUAGGGGUACAUGGAACUCUUGGUGGAGCGGUGGAAUGCGUAGAUAUCAAGAGGAACGCCAAUGGUGAAGACAGUGUACUGGGCUUGUUCUGACGCUGAGGUGCGAAAGCGUGGGGAGCGAACGGGAUUAGAUACCCCGGUAGUCCACGCCGUAAACGAUGUCUACUAGGUUGUGGGAGUUCUGACACUGUCACAGCCGAAGCAAAAGUGUUAAGUAGACCGCCUGGGGAGUACGGUCGCAAGGCUA